rnacentral:lncRNA from 1 species
AAAAAAUGAAAGUCCCCCCUCCUUUUUCUCUCAAAGCCUUCUUCACCUGGCCUUGGGAGUUGUCGAGCUUCGUCGCGUCGACCGCCUUUCGCCGGUGAUGGCUACGCCAUCCACGGUGGUUGGCAAAAUAAAAAAGGGGCCUUUUUGAUCGCUUUACUACCUUCAACCCCGAUCUGAGACCAAAAUGCCCAAAAGCCUAGCAAAAUUCGAAAAAAAAUCAAAGGAACCUUUCGGUUCUGUCUUCUUUUGUCGCGACUGUUCGGCGAAUCCCCGAGGAUCCGUCGGUCUUUCAAAACGGAGGGAGAAGACAGCAGUGGCGGUAUAGGUAAAAAGGUUUCAUUUUUAUUUUUUAUAUAUAAAAAAAUAUAAAAUAUAAAAAGAUUUAAAAAAAAAGAUCUAUCUAUUCUAUUCUCUUUUAAAACUUCUUGUUUUUUAUUUUUCUUCCCCUCUUGAAUCUUACAAGAAAUGGAUCUUUAUAGCCGUUUGAGAUUACAACAUUUUCUUUUCUUUUUUGUUUCUGUGUUGGUACUGUUUCUUUGCUACUGUUUUUGCUAUUGUUGUCCUUUUUUCAUUCUUUUUGCAGGUGCCCUUGGAGCGUCAACGACGAGGCAAAAAGUAUCCCUUUCCAUUUUGGUGAAAUGGCGACAAAGGCGCAUCAGGUCUCGGGUGGCGUGUCGAUUCACGUGGAGGGUAACGGCACUGGAGGUUAGGGUUUUUUUAUUUUACUGAAACUUAGUUUAGACUAUUAGGCUUGGGCCAUUAGGUUUUUUUGGGGGGGGCUUGCAAUCUUAUAAUUUGACUGUUUUUAAUUUGGACUUUAAAAUUUUUAUUUUAUUUAAUUUAGUUUGGGUCCAGGCAAAAAUGACCUAUUACAACCUAAACAAUAUAUGUUGUGAUAGAAUUAAAUUGACAACCAUACAAUUCAAUGUUGACUAUCAUCAAG